ACCUUUCACCCGCGCGCCUCUGGCGCCACCGGAAGCCGGCGCAGGGUCUGUCACCAGGUGUCCCUCUGUUGCCUUGACUACGGCGGGCGCUGUGGGAGUGGAGAAGCCGCAAGUGCUGAGGCGCGGUGGAGGAAGGCAUGGGAGCCAAGAGCAUGAGGAGCUGGUGUCUUUGUCAGAUUUGUACCUGCGGGUGACAUCAUUGUCCACAUGGAAUCACAAGGAUUUAUGAAAAUUCUGGGGUGUUUUGCCCUACAACUGAAUAUUUGGAAAAAUAUCCUAUGUAUGACAAUGUUCUUCCAGCUCAGAGUCUUAAACCCAAGCAAGAAAUUCGAGCAUGCCGUGGUAAAAUGGAAGGAAUAACUAUAUUUAAGUUGGAUUAUCGUCCUUAUGAAAUAUUUAAACAGCCUCGCCAUGUGCCAGAAGAAUAUAAACCAAAACAAGGGAAGAUUGAUCUUGGUAUUACCUACAAACGGGAUUUUAAUUCGUACAAAGUGCAGCCUGUGGCAAUAGUCCGGCCUUUGGAGAGACAACAAGUUAAAAAAGGAAAGUUGGACACUGUCCCGACUUAUAAAGAUGAUUAUAGAGCUUAUGACCUUCAUAAAAGUGAACUUUAUAAGCCAGAACAAACUUAUCAACCCCCUACUGUGAAAUUUGGAAAUUCAGCUACAUUUCAGGAUGACUUUGUUCCUCAAGAGAUAAAGCCUAGGCAAAUCUUUCUUUAAACCCUCCUCUGUGGUCAAACGUUCUACAGCCCCUUUUAAUGGCAUUACAAGUCAUUGCCUUGAUUAUAUACCUCAUCAGCUUGAACUCAAGUUUGAAAGGCCAAAAGAAGUUUGCAAACCAACUGACCAAUGCUUUGAGGAUCUCACAGCUCACCGGUAUGACUUUCAGGGUCUUAUUGGUGAAACUGCAAAAAUCUGCAGACCUGUACACACCAGAGUGACCCAGAAUGCUUGGUUUGAAGGAAGCACUGAAUUCCGUGAAUGUUUUCAACCAUGGGAAAUCCCACCAUCUGAGGUCAAGAAAGUACCAGAGUAUGUGCCUCCUACAGGUAACAUCUAUUAAACAGCACAAGCCAUCUUGACUAUGUUCCAUAUCAGACCAACCAUGUAGUUCCCAUCAGGCCAGUUUCUCAUAGAAGAAGUAACAAUUUUCCUUUCGAAGGAAAAAGCACCAUGAAGGAAGAUUUUCCAGCAUGGGAAAAUUGUCGUCAGGGACUUAUUAAGAAGCAGCAGAUUCCCAACCCAUCUGGAAAAUUUGAUGGUUUGAGCACUUUCAGAUCUCACUAUGGGCCACACAAAUUGAUUCCAACAGAGAGUUGCAAAUCUUUAAAUAUUGCUUUUAAGAGUUCUGUUCCAUUUGAUGAUGUGACUAUGUACUCUGUAGAGUACACACCAAAAAACAGGAAAUUUGCCCAACAAGUUACUCGUCUCUUCCAGGUUACAUUUUUGAAAAUGCCAAUUCCCAAGGUCAUAAAUUCUUUCACAAGAUUUCUCCCACAGUGAAGGCCUUCUAAUAACCAAAAUAUGCUUAAAAGGAAGCUACUAGCAAGUAAUUGUUUUUCCAAGAGAAGACUCAAUUUUUGGAGUGAAAAAAAUUAUGAUAUAAUAAAUCAUUUUUUAUAUUUUUAAACAAGAAAAUUGGAAAAUGUAUUAUAAAAACUCAGAAUCUUAAAACCAUUUUGUAUUGAUACUUUAAUCAAGAUCGUUCUUUAAUAUGCAUUUCAGAAGGUUCAAUAAUAUACAUUCCCAUGUGAACUCUUUUAAUAUUUAACAUAUUGCUUAGUAACUUGUCCCCAGUCUAUUAUCAUUUGUAAUUCUGUUUAUAAUUAUGGCAAUUUUAUGGUUAUUCACAUACCAGUUGUUAUUUAUCAAGCACAUCAGGAUUAUCUAGAACAACAUUGAAAAUGAUACAUGAAUUCCUCUUCCAAGAUAAUAGGAUUCAUUUUACUCAGACUUCCGUGCAUCUACAUAGCAUCUACUGAGUCAAGUUUUGGUUGGUGGUAUACAGACUGCUGCACUGCUCCUCACCAUGUUCAGGUUAGCAAGAGGCACUGUGGUGUGGCAAGGAAAGGCUCUGUGUGCUGGGAAUCAAAGGACUUGAGUUCAAGUUCUAACUAAUUAUCAUUAUUUUUAGAGACAGGGUCUCACUGUCACCCAUGCUGGAGUCCAGUGACGUGAUCACUGCUUACUGCACCCUCAGCCUCCUGAGCUCAAGUCAUCCUCCUACCUCAGCCUCCCAAGUAGCUGGGACUACAAGGGUGUGCCACCACAUAUGACUAUUUUUUUUUAAAUAUACUUUGUAGAGACAGGUUCUUGCUAUAUUGGCCAGGCUGUUCAAUAUAUUGGCCAGGCUACUCUUGAAUCCCGCCUUGGCUUCCCAAAGCACUGGGAUUACAGGCAUGAGCCACUAUACCCAGCCAGAGUUCAAGUUCUAAUAAUAUAGAUUUCUACUUGUAUUACCUUAGACAAUGACUCAUAUCUCUGAGCCUCGGUGUCUAUUUGUAAAAUGAUGUCUGUUCUCAAAAAGAGUUUGUUUUGAGCAUCAGACUAUAUGGUACAUUUUAGUCCUUAAAGUACAAGUGUAGAGGAUUGUUAAAAAAAAAAAUCGCUCAAUCUCUUUUUGUACUUGUUUUCUCCUUUUCAAAUGAGGAAAAUUACUUACUCAAUCCUCAUUUACUGGCCUGUAGCAAGGAUUGUAAACUAACCUAAUUUGCUUUGAGCUUCUGAGUAGUAUGUGCUUCUGAGAGGAGUCUUGUCCUUUAAAACUUCAUGAGCACCUGAGAAAUUGUUAACAGAGAAUGGAAAGCUUGGAAUGGGGUAAAUACAGUGGUUUGAGUAACAGUAUUUGCAGAAAGGAAAAAGUAUUUGCUAGGGUAGUUUUAGGAAGUUUCAGGAAGACUGACAGCUCUGAAGAAAUCUUUAGGGUAAAUGUAGGUAAUUUUGAACCUAAUUGCCAUGCCAAGUCACUGUUCAGAGGCAGAACCAGCCCCCACAGGGGGCAUAAUCACCUGGUUCACCUCUUCCAGUGUGAAGAUAAGUGCUAAGGAAAGGAAUGAUGCCAGAAAGUAUAGUAGAAACACUCUAUUGCAUUUAGAAAUGCUGAAAAUUUCCUAAUGAAUUAAACUCUUAUUGGGUGGUUCCUUUUUUAAAAAAAAUAAAUAAUUACAUUAUGAGAGAAUAUGAUUUAUUUUAGCAUAAAGUGAAUUUUAGUCUUUCAUGGCUUCAAAAUUAUUUCAAAAUAUACUUUAUUGAAAAUCAUCAAUAUUUGGUUAUUUUAAUUGUUCAAAAGUAAUUUGUUCUUAUUUACAUUUGUUAGUAAAAGUAUGGUGUGUGAAACUUUAUAUUUCUAUGCAACAUUAAUAAAAUCAAUAAAAGGAAUGGAUUUUCAAGAAGUCA